rnacentral:misc_RNA from 1 species
GUGCUGUGAUUGCUCGAACCGCACCCCCCCCCUUUACGGCGCCACACACACACACACACACACACAGCCGCCGGAGCACGCUACGAAUAAAAGAACCCCGCGCCGACUGCACAAAAAUUGAAUAGCAGAAACAAUAGAUACCGAGAAGAAGGUGACCGUUUGGUUCACUCGGCCCUUUUCACCCUUUCCCAUACACCAGAGACACAGGCGUGCACACGUAGACACACGCUGCAUCCAUAGAGACGUAAGUCACUCCAACACAAGUAAACAUAUAUAGACACACGCACGGGCGCCUCAGUACCCUCUACAUCCUCUCACCAGUUGAACAGGCUGCUCUGCUUUUUUUUUGCGUACACCGCUGCGACCUACCGCAAGCUUCACCGUCUCAACGAGCAAGAUGUCGCAGUCGCGCUCAUUGCCGUGUCGUGCCAGCGGCUGGAGAAUAGGCACAAUGCUGGUGAUGAUUGUUUGCGCCGUUGGUACGGCAUCCCAGCAGAGCACGGACUGUGACACGCUUGGCUUUAUACUGGAUGUCGCAGACCGCAGCUGUCAGGCGUGCCCGGCACACGCUCGCCGAGUGCAGGGGACGUGCGUGUGCGAUGUGGGCUACGCGUUGCACGUAGACGCCAGCACUGGGAAGCUAUCGUGUGUGGGCUGCGCCGCGAAGAAAAUGAUGGUGAGCGAUGUGGGCGCUGGCAACGCGUCCGCGUACUGUCUCCCUUGCGGAGGAGACCGCCAGCUGACUUGCUUGGUCGAUGCCACGUACGACGAGUCCGCACAAACAUGUGUGUGCGCUUCGGGGAGCGUCUUGGCGAAGCAGGUGGGCACGCUUUUGCUAACAGCGGCGAUGUGCGCCCCAUGCGCUUCCUCAGAAUGCGUGAGAUGCUCCUUUCCAUACGCACUCGAUGCGAGCAGUGGCGUGUGCCGUUGCAGCGCCGGCUUCACGAUGCUCUACGACGGCUCCUGUGUGCCCACCGAGGCGUAUGAUUCAAUGGCCGCUGCAGCCUCAGGAACGUCGGCGGCUCUCUCUCCGCCGAACAUCGACAACAGCGGCGCGGCGGGUCCUCUGACUAGAGUUUUUCCUGUUCAAACGUACUCGCUCGGCGCUGCCCUGCUGUGCAGUCGCGGCAACAGCACAGCGUGCAAUCUGCUGGCAAACCUGUGCGUUGUGAUGAACUAUCAAGUCACCGCCACGCCGUGUGCGCUGUACGAGCACAUCAAGCAGAGCAAGCCAUGCGACGAUCCGUGGUGUGAGACGGUAGACGGGCUUCCAUGGCUGUACUACGCCCGGAGCAACGCCGAUGUCUUGAGCAACGUGACGACGGAGCUCCGCCUCUCGGCGCGCCAAAAGCUGCAGCUUGUCGUGUCGGCGUUUGAUCUGUACGGAAACUGGCUCGGCUAUCAAUCCAUGGUGAGCCAAGUCAACCCGUGCUUUCUCAAGAACACAGAGCUGCAUACAUUUUUCGCCGCCGGUGACACACGCGCCACAUCGUGCCAUGUGAACUGGCAUUGGUUCCUUCGCGCAAAUCGCACUCUAUUCUAUGAGGUUUACCUUCGCCACCCGUUGAACGCAUCGCGGCUGGUGCCUGUGCCCCUGCUCAUCGAUUACUCCAACUACGGAUUCGAGCCCGCGACAUUUUAUGACCCGUGGCUGUACCGCGGCGGCGCCGUCGCUUCCAACGGCGCCAUGCCCGAGGCGCUUUUCGACGGCGGUUCUACGCCUACGACAACGUGGGUGGCAGCGGUGCAUCACCGCUUCGCUCGUUGCCCAGCUAUGUAACAGCGCUACGCAGCGCCAGUCUAGUACUGGGGACCGACCACCGCGACGAUCGUUACGUUAUGACCCCACUUGUCGUGCUGCAGUACGCGUCAAAAAUGGUGUCUACGAUAGCCGAUGCAGCACCCGCGGACGACCUCGAAGUGGAGCGGCAAACGCCGCUCAACACCAGCGGUCGGUCCGAUUACACACUCCACUGUGAAAUGCGCUCCUAUUACUUGCCCAGCACCGACUCUGUAAGCCAGGGACUGAAGGUCGCGGUUAUCGUCCUGUGUUCCCUAUGCUUCUUCUCGGCGUGGGUGCGCACGUAUGGCUGGAUGCGACGACGACAGUACCUCGUUCUUGAUUGGUUCGCGUUACUGCGAUUCUUUGUGUACCUGUGCAACCACAUCAGCAACAUGUUCUUCCUCGCUGUCGCUGUUGCGUCGUGGUACAUGUUUAUCGCGUACAAGAGGCAGUUGUCUUUGUCGCGCGCGAUGCGGCUAGGCGACGUGUACGUGAACGCGAUGCUGUACGUCGCCGUCACGGCGAAGGGGAUCACAGUGCUGUACCGGCUAGCGGAGCAGUGCAACGCGGACUACUUUGUCAUCGACUGGGAGCGAUCCAAAGGGCAGCUGCUCCGUGAAAACAAGGUUGUGCCAGUGAGCAUGUGGCGCUCAACGUUCGUGGCGAAUGCACUGAACGAGUUGCAGGCACUGCGCUACUGGUGCCCACUGCUCACCAUGACGAUCAUUCUCCUCUUUCUGGUUGGCCUCGAUUACCAGAACAUGUCUGCCAGCGUCCCGCGCGGGUCGCGGCAGGUGGACAACAUGACCGUCUCCUUCGGCACCCUCCGCGUCGCGAUUGAUACCUUCUUUUGGGUGGCUGUGGCGCUGGUCAUGUACCUGUUCGAGUACCAGAUUUACUAUCGCUUCAUUGUUGUGCACCCCCUGCAGGCGUUCGUCGACUUGUGCUCCGUGUCGAACAUCUCCAUCAUUAUCCUCUUGGAGCAACAGUGGGGCUUCUACAUCCAUGGCGAGUCCAUUCACGCCCACGCUGACGUUAGUAUGGAGGAGUUCCAGAGCAACCUGUUUCUUGAGGCUCAGGGAAACCUACCCGUACGCGGCUUAGGGGGCCAGAGCAAGUGCCAGUCUCUUGAAGUGUAUCUCGGGCCGUAUACCCGCCAAUAUCUUUACAUGUGCUACAUGGAGAUGCAUAUCGAGAACCAACGCUCGCUUUUGAAGCGCGAGCGCGCCACCAACCCGGCUCAGUGGCAGUAUAUCCGCUUUCUCUUUUGCUUUUCACGACAACUUUGUGUCUACACAGAGACGGCCUUGGCUAUUCGCGACCGCAUUAACUACGCGUUCCAGCAAAGCGUGCGUCGCGCGGAGAGCACGCUUCUGGUGAAGUUUAUGCUGCAAAAGUGGCUCGACUUCCCGCCCAACGUGAUGUACAUGAACGGGCCGCAGCGCGGCGAUCAUUGCGGCAAGGAUCUCUUCUUCAUCGACGACGUUCAGUCGUACGGUCGCGCGUUUCUGUGCGGCCUUGACUUUGAUCUUUUCGUGCUCUACGCUGCUCUGUUUGCCGCGAUCGACACGGCGCUGCAGAACUUCUACGUCGCCAUGGUGCUGGCUUUUGCGGUGGAGGUUGUCGUUCACUUCUACCGCGUCCGUGAGGGGCUCGCGAACUUGAGUCAAAAGACAAUGAUUGAUGAUCGCUUUUUCUUGUAGACAUCUCUUCUGCUUUGACUUCUCUGUUUUCGAAGAAUUGGAACACCACUUCUUGCUCUUCGGGCCUCUCCGCGCUUGUUUCGCCACCUCUUAUAUUGUUUCGUUUGCGGUGUGACCGCUAUGUCAAUCUGUUGCGGCUUUGUUGUGACUCCUUUGCGCGCCUCUGCGUGUGCGCAUGAUGCCUCUACGCUCUCCGGGGGUGGUUUUGCUGGCCUCGCUGCGCCUUCUGCACGUUGAAAUGCGCUGCCGCGCACAAGGAAGCAUGAACCCUCUCCCCUGCCCAUUCUGUGCUCUUUCUUUGUCUUCAGAUACCGCUCUUUCUCUCUCCCUAUAGAAUCGCGCUAAGUGAUGCAGCGCACAUGAACCGUGAGAGACCCGCAAGCUGUACAUGCACUCUCACGCACCUGUGUACACAGAGAGGUGCUUGCGGAUGCACAGAUGAUGGAGGGUGGCAAGAUCCAAUUUAAAAGAAAAGUAUA